GAAAAUGGGUGGCGGAAAUCCGCGAGCCCAACCGCGGCGCCAGGGUUUGGCUCGGCACCUUCAACACCUCCCUCGAGGCGGCGCAGGCCUACGACGACGCUGCCCGCCGCCUCUACGGCGCCGGCGCCAAGCUCAACCUCCAGGAACCCGAUUCCGGAGGCGGCCGGAACAUGCAAACCCCGGCGGCGCAGCCGGCGGUUUCUCCCUCCUGCACCGACUCCGUCGUGCCGGAUUAUUACGACAACUAUUACAGAAGCGAGAGCUCUGUGCUCGACGAAGCGCGGAGCAUGUGGGAUAUUCCGGCGGCGCCGACGCUGCUAGAUGAGAAGCAGAGCCUGAACUGGCCGGAGUUUCCGCCGGAAAGUUUCAGCAAAUGUGAUUUUAUGGACGAUACACGAGUUCCAUGGACCUUAUAGCUCGAAUCUUACUUGGGUUUGUGUGGAAUUCUUGAUGUCCUUUUCUUUUUGGUUAAUUUGUUUUUUGUCAUGUUAGUUUUUGCUUGAGCUGUGUUGGAAUGUUCAAGUUUCUUCCGACUAAUAUUAUUAGAAUAUAAUUAGGAUUUAUUAGAAUAAUUAGGAUUUACAUAUGUACUUUUUGUGCUCCCUUUUAGCCCUAAGGUAGGGUUUUUUUAGAAUAAUUAGGAUUUACAUAUGUACUGUUUGUGCUCCCNCGAGUACUCGAUGGCACCAUCGUGUACACCAUCCAGUAAUGAAAAAAAUAAAGAUUUUCUACAACACUAUCGAGUAAUCGAAGUACUCGAUGGUGUACACGAUGGCACCACGAGUACUUGAUGGUGUAUACGAUGGCGCCAUCGAGUACAAAAAAGUCAAAGGGUGUUAUAGUCUUUUAAACUUAAAAUGACUACAUAACUUAUCUAUUAUAAACUAGGGCUAUAAAACUUAUAUUUUUAUGAAAGAGAGCUAUAAUAAAAUUUCCCUCUAUAGCUGUACAAAAAUAACUGUAGUUACUGACGAAUUUUUUAGAUGCAGUAUCCAAAUACAUUGCAAAAUAUAUAGGAUUAACUGUCAGAAUUUACACAAUCUUCACCCGAAUUUGUUUUGACGUACAUCUCCAAAAUCAGUGUCUAUGUCGAAAAAUUAAAGAAAAUAACAAUCAAAUUCUUAAACUACUAUCUUAAUGAAAAAUUGCCAAAGGUGUGGACAAAUUUACAACUAUUUCCUAGCUCUAUAUGUCGUUUUAAUCAAUAAUAAUUCUUAUUCAGAAGCUAAAUCGUUCAUUUGUCAAAAUAUAUUUUCACAAAGGAAAAAUUUGGAAAGACGCAUCAAACUUUGUUGGUCCUAAAAAUCUGGGAUAUUGAAUCGUAGUUUAAAAUGAUGUCAUAAGUGCACAUUUUAAAAUUGAGCCCUAAUUUACAACUUUAUUCCGAUUUCAUAAUAAUUAACCAUUCAUUAAAUUAUUGCAAGCACUCAAUUACGUUAGAUGAAAGUUCUACAUAAGAGAAUUGCUGAAUAAUUACAUUAUAAAAAUUAGUAAUGCUAAACAGUAACGUGGCCACCCACAAUUUACUUAAAUAGAAAAUAAUUUAAUUUAUUUUUUUAAAUAAGAUUUAGUUAUUUUAUCAUAUUCUCUACAUUGUAGUUAUUUUUUUUAUUUUUAUUGAAAAAUACAUUAAAAAUAAAAAAUACAAAAAAAUAAAAAAUAAGUAAAAUCUAAAGAAUAUAAUAAAUAACUAAAUUCUAUUUUUAUUUUAAAAAUAAAUUAAAUAAAUUAAGAUUUUUUUUAUUAUAUUAAUUUGUGGUGGCCACAAUAUGGUAGAAUAGAUUUGUCUUAUAAAAAUACAAUUUAUGGUGUUAGACAUAUCUCGAUUCUCGACAAAAGCUAUUUCGUCAUGAAGUCUUCCCCCAAAAUCCCAAAAGCCAUAUCUCUAACUAACUUAGCCUUUAAGUUGAAACAAACUCCAAGAGAUGAGCGAAGGGCGGCUCACGAGUCAUGCCCCCUUUUCUUACACGUCCCCUCCCACCUCGAUCGCAUACCGGAUUUUUUUAUUUUUCAAAUCGCACAUUAAGCAAGUUAUUUAGAUCUAAAUUUAAAUACUCCUAUUUAUUAUAAUUCAUUUAAUGAAAUUUGUUAAUUAAAUAAGUUGAAAUGGACUUAUACUAGUUUUACUAAUACAUUAAAGUUGUUAAAAUAUACUCUCUCCCAUUUAUCUUAGCACACUUAACUUUUUAAUUUAUGUUAUUUAUCGUGAUGAUGGGUUCCAAAUUACGAUCAAAUUGAGGUCCAGAUUUCAAGAACAUGGUUAAGAGCAUCCGCAUCGCCUACACGAUAGCGGCCUACUCGUGUAAGGCUCGCAUCUUGUAAGGCGAUGCAGCCCUCUCUUACACGAGGGCUACACGUUCUAACGUGUAGCCCGAUCGACCGUUCAAAAUAGGCGCGUGUUUUACACGCGCCAUUUAAAAAUAAUCGAAAAUUCGAAUUUUAAAUUUGACUGUCUCGCGAUUUCCGUUUAUUUUGACCUUUUUUUUUUCUUUUUCUUUUUUCUUUUUUUAUCUUCUUUUUCUUCUCUUUUUCUUCUUCUUCACUUUCUUCCUUCACCUUCUUCAUCUUCCUCACUUUUUCCUUUCUUCCUCUCUCUACACCCUCCAUGGAUCCACACAACCCAAAUUACUAUGACCUAAAUUGGUGCCCCAAUCUAUCCGACGGCUAUCAUCCCGAUUUGUCGGGAUGUAACUUAGGGGAUGCUCCUCCAUCCGACGAGGAGAUGCCUUCGGCAGCCCAAAGUGCCGCCAAACCAAAGAAAGGCAGCCGGAGGAAGGAAAUUGCCCACAAGAUCCGGCAUGACAGGCAGGCGCCGGCGGCGGAGGAGGAUGACGGAGGAAAGAUUGUCCGUCAAACCUACACCCUGGAGUUGACGGACCUCAUCGUAUAUUUAAGGUUUUUAAUUUUUUUAUGUAAUUUUUAGGUUUUUUAUUUUAAUGAAAUUUUAAUUAUUAGUAAAAUGUGUUAUUUAAAUUUGAGCAAUUAAAUUUAAGUAUAAAGUAUAAAAAUCAAAACUAAAAAAAUCAUGUAAGUGAAAAGCAUAAAAAUCAAAACUAAAAAAAUACAUGUAGGCUAUCAUGUAAUCCCAAUGCAGCAUCUUUACACAAUGUGGUUCCCCUCAUCAAGUAAGUUAUCAUGUAAGCUAUCAUGUAACACCAAUAUGGAUGCUCUAAAAGGUAAUUAUAUCAUGAUGAGAUAUAUAUUUACAGGGGAGAUGAGGUAUUUUCUCAUCGCUGAUUGUGACAUAUUCUUGGCGGAUAGUGGAAAUAUGAUCGAUAGUUUUAAAUUAAUCCUUUACACAUCACGACUUAGUCAUAGACAUUAGACAAUGAAACAGUAAACACAUCAAUAUGAAUCCUCUAUUUCACAAUGUAUUUUAAACUUUAAAAAUAACAAGUAAUCACAUCAAACAUUAUUAUAUAAGUACAAUAUGGCAUCAAUAAAUAUACGGAACACAGAAAAGACGUCAACGAAGGCCAACCCCACCCCCCAUCCAACCCCCCCACCCUAAAGGUCAUCACCGCCACCCCAACCCUUUAAAUUCCGCCACCACACUCUUCAGCCACUCUACAACUUCGACGACGAACCCCUCACUUUUCCGGCGACAACCGACAGUCUCAGCGCCGCCGCAAAACGACGGAUGCCCCCCCAACCCCCCACCCACACAGCGCCGGAGAAGAGAUCCGCCGCCGUCCGCCGCUCCAGGAAGGGCUGCAUGCGCGGAAAAGGCGGGCCGGAAAACGCCCUCUGCACCUACCGCGGCGUCCGGCAGCGGACAUGGGGAAAAUGGGUGGCGGAAAUCCGCGAGCCCAACCGCGGCGCCAGGGUUUGGCUCGGCACCUUCAACACCUCCCUCGAGGCGGCGCAGGCCUACGACGACGCUGCCCGCCGCCUCUACGGCGCCGGCGCCAAGCUCAACCUCCAGGAACCCGAUUCCGGAGGCGGCCGGAACAUGCAAACCCCGGCGGCGCAGCCGGCGGUUUCUCCCUCCUGCACCGACUCCGUCGUGCCGGAUUAUUACGACAACUAUUACAGAAGCGAGAGCUCUGUGCUCGAC
rnacentral:lncRNA from 1 species